rnacentral:rRNA from 1 species
UACACACCGCCCGUCAAGCCAUGAGAGCGGGUUCUGCCAGAAGUAGUUAGCCUAACCGCAAGGAGGGCGAUUACCACGGCAGGGUUCGUGACUGGGGUG